CACACUCUGAAUGCUCAUCAGCUACGGGUGGCUAGUGGUUACUGCAGAUCAGGUACAGAACACUUCCAUCACAGUGGAAAGCUCUGUUGGACAGAAUUGUUCUAGAAUCUUCGGGGCACUGGGAAUCUUCAAGACCAUUUGCAGAGCUUUCCAGCUGGGGUCUUCAACUGGGCUACAGCACCUCCAUGGGGCUCGAGCAAGACCGACGAAGUCAGCCCUGUGAAUACGGGGUGGCCCCCUCCCCAGCUGCUGGAAGUGCUCAGCCAGAGCCAUAACUGCAUCUCGGGAGCCCUGCGCUGUCCGCAUCCAGCCAGCGCCUGGAGGGCUUAGGGCCAAAGAGGAGCACGCCUUGAGGGCUCGGAGAAUAAAAACCAUUUCAGCAAAGGCAGUUGAACUGGACCGGAUUUCCUCUGAGUGAAACACAUUGCAUUUAUCCGCAUAUUUAAGGUUGAAGAAUAAUAAAAAGCUGGAGAAAAAGAAGCUUUUGUCUACAAUGUAUGCAGACUAUUCUUGAUGAAGUCCGUAUCUUCCUUAGGUCCCUGAAUCAACACGAACACUUCCUAGUGCUCUGUAAAUAUAGAAACGUACAACUUCCGGUGUGAUAGGGACCGUCUUCCUAUGUCGGUUUGAAGUCGCACCUGCAAACACCACACGCGUGCAGUAACGGAUGGUCAAAUUGCUCUUGCGCGGUUGCCCCUGGACGGCUCCCACCGAAUGAAAAUGACCAGCACGUCUCUCCUGAUUUGUUGAGGCAAUGAAUAAUUUACUUUAAAUUUAGACUACAAAUUGGCACCACCGUUACUAAAAUAUAGUCAAGCAGGCACAUAAAUCAAGGCGACCUAUGAAUACACAGGGUAUCAAUUUUCAUAUACAGGUCCAAAGGAUAACACGGUUUAGGAAACACAAAAGGUAUCUGUUGCGCAGGCAUUUGUUUGUUCCUUCCUUCCUUCACUCAUUCGCUCAUACAACAGAUUUAAUCAAUGUCUAUUUAUAAAGUGCCAGAUUCCUAGAAAAUAGUUUGCUGUGUGAAUUAUUCAAAAGCCAGAUAUCCAUCCAGGAAGCGAGUGUGUAAUCUGUAGGGCCUUUCUCUGUUUCUGUACACGUUUCCUUCUUUUCUCUCUCUCCCUCAUCGGGGAAAGCCGGUAGAAUACAAUGAAAAUACGUGGGGUGCCCAGCCUACCAGCACAGUGUAGGGAGAGAGAGGAUGAAAGCGGGUUAUUACGAGAUACUGAAUAAAAGAUGUCACUCAGAGAAAAUGUGUCAAAGCUCCUGGCACUCUCCUUCAACUAAAAUUUGUUGAAAAGCUACUGAAAGGACUACUUUUAGGUGGACAAGAAUCUCCCCGUGGGAAGAAUGAUCAUCAUCAUGUUUCUGAGCCAGAUACAUUGUAAUCCCUCAGGAUGGGGGCUCCUGGUUUUUGGGCCGCGUCCACCUCUCAGAAGCCUUGAAGUGAAACUCGACAGGAGGACCCGAACACCACCGGUCGCAGCAGGCCUGGCAGAGUGCAAGGGUUUACACAUACAUGACCUCUGACUCUCACUCACAGCAGGACCUCCCGGGUGGGUUUAUUCCUAUUUCAGAGGUCUGCACUCGUCAAUUCUUCUCUCCUGGUCUCUUCCUUUCUCUGGACUUCCAUUUCCAAAUUCUCUUGCCCAUUCCUUCUCUGGUCAUCUCCUUAAAUUUUGGUGUCUUAUCUACAAUUAAGACAGGACUGUCCCCCCCCCCCCCCCGCAUGUGUGUAGAUGGGCUGCCCCCUCCUGCACAGAUGCACAUGACUUCCAUGUUCUUUUUUCUUGGUGGGGAUGGGGAGCACAGGCCUUGUGUGGAUGGUCCAGGGCUGUCCGAGCAGUGCGAUGGCCCGUCUCAUGCACUGGUUUUCACUGAGGUUAAACGCAGGGGUCAAGUUAGUGUGUUCUGAGGAGUGAGCGGGUCAGUGUCUUUCCAUGUGGCCAAAAGGCUUCUCUCAGGAUUAGCAACAGAGAGUCAGAAUAAGAGGACAGGAGGCACAGUGUGUGGGAAGUAAAAAGUCGCCCUGAAAAGGAACACUCCUGACACAAUGAUGACAUUUUCCAGACCACUCACUGUGCCCUUUUACCGACCAGGUUCCAUGUGGAAAAGAUGAUCUAAGGCUCCAAAGUCCAUGACACUGUUACUGGUCCUGAGGACCAUCUAAUUUUCUGCUAAUGCCUAUAUCAAGCGCGGUAUUUUCCGAGUACCUAGAAUUAAUCCAUACCAGCAGAAAUACAUGAACAAUUUGGAGUGAUCUCUCAUUUAAGAGAGAUUUAAGCCUAUUUCUUUUAACCCUGUUCUUACAUGACUCAAUAAAAUUAUAUCCAACUAUAGAAUAUUAUUUUCUCGAAGCUUCAAAGAUAUUUCGUUGUCAGACCACAUGCAUAAAUAUUCUAUGAGUUACUUAACAUAGGGAAAAGGAACAGCAUUCAUUGCACCUCAACUAAAAUUUAUGACGGCACCCAAAUGCCGCACCAAGAUGAGUUGCAGAAAAUCAUAAUAUUCACUUAGAGUAAUAGUUGCACAUCAGUUAUUUUUGUUUUAGAACAGACUUCAUUAUUGGCUGCACUGAUAUACAGUCACGGCUGAGACUGUCACUUAAGACAAAUGUGUGAUAUCGUUGUAACAUAGGCAAUGGUUCCAUCCAUCCACCCCAAUUUUAUAGAAUUCAAACUACUGUGGGAAUUUGUCAUUUGGCCAAGAAGGGUCAGUACGUGAGGUUAUAGAACAUCUGUUGAGGAGCCUCUGAAAGGAUCUUAAAAGUUUGCCUGAAUAAUUAUUUUGAGCAAAAUUAUUCUUCUCCAGAAUCUCUUAUCCUUUUACAUCCAUUUAUGUUUCUAACCAAUAGGCGAUUCAAUCAGUAGAAACACUGAUGGCCUUUUACUUUAAAAAGCAGGUGCCACUAUUAAACACAAGGUGGCGAUAUAAUCCUAUUUUCAGCCUCCAAGGAGCGACCGCUAUACCUGCGGUUGGUGCCUUGUGCUAGGCAUUUUGUCUUCAUUAGCCUAGACUAUCAGCCACCAAAAUCAAUUCCAACAGGAAAGAAAACAAAAACCAGAUGAAAUUAAUGAAAGGUGACAACCAGAUGACAGCUAUUUUUAUUUUUUUUAAUUUUUUUAUAACACUCUUAACAGGUAGGUGCUCUGAUCACGGCAAAUUCUGCAAGUAACAAUUUGGUAGAGUUGGGAUGGCCGGUGAGAUUAGUUGCAGAAGCAGACACUUCAGUUCCUCCGAAGCAGGUUUAGGUUGGUAAUGACAGUCAUUACCAUUUUACAGCCGUCCUGCUCAACUCAUAAUUAAGUAUGAUAGAAACCGCCUCCGCUCAUGACCCCUCACUGAUGAACAAAAUGAGGACAGGACCCAACCCCAUGGGAAUAUUCCUCCUUCCUGGUCAUUACCAGGUGUGGGAACCAUGAGUUAAAAUGACGCUUUAUGAGCUACAGAUUAGCCGAACAAAUUUCACAAUGGCUGAGGAGCUAAAUUCCCUGCAGGGCUCCUGUCCUGUGAGGCACAUUCGCAGAUGCACGUGCUAAGGCUAAAUUAACCUCUCAAUAGAAGUGCCCUGAAAGAGUUUGAAGCUAAAAUAUUGAAAUUCAGGUAGAUUUCAGAGUAAGGAGACUGUGAUACAGGCAAGCCUGUAUGCUGUACUCCGGUUGAGCGUUGACCAGCCAUCUAAGCAAAUGUUUGCCGUCCCUCUGGCUAAGGAACAAUGGUUCUCUGCCAAAUAAGGUCAUUACAAAGACGUCCUGAUUUCUGGGGCGCCUGGGUGGCUUAGUCUGUUAAGUGUCUGACUGCCACUCAGGUCACGAUCUCACGGUCCGUGAGU